UGAAGAGUUUGAUCAUGGCUCAGAUUGAACGCUGGCGGCAGGCCUAACACAUGCAAGUCGAACGGUAACAGGAAGCAGCUUGCUGCUUUGCUGACGAGUGGCGGACGGGUGAGUAAUGUCUGGGAAACUGCCUGAUGGAGGGGGAUAACUACUGGAAACGGUAGCUAAUACCGCAUAACGUCGCAAGACCAAAGAGGGGGACCUUCGGGCCUCUUGCCAUCGGAUGUGCCCAGAUGGGAUUAGCUAGUAGGUGGGGUAACGGCUCACCUAGGCGACGAUCCCUAGCUGGUCUGAGAGGAUGACCAGCCACACUGGAACUGAGACACGGUCCAGACUCCUACGGGAGGCAGCAGUGGGGAAUAUUGCACAAUGGGCGCAAGCCUGAUGCAGCCAUGCCGCGUGUAUGAAGAAGGCCUUCGGGUUGUAAAGUACUUUCAGCGGGGAGGAAGGGAGUAAAGUUAAUACCUUUGCUCAUUGACGUUACCCGCAGAAGAAGCACCGGCUAACUCCGUGCCAGCAGCCGCGGUAAUACGGAGGGUGCAAGCGUUAAUCGGAAUUACUGGGCGUAAAGCGCACGCAGGCGGUUUGUUAAGUCAGAUGUGAAAUCCCCGGGCUCAACCUGGGAACUGCAUCUGAUACUGGCAAGCUUGAGUCUCGUAGAGGGGGGUAGAAUUCCAGGUGUAGCGGUGAAAUGCGUAGAGAUCUGGAGGAAUACCGGUGGCGAAGGCGGCCCCCUGGACGAAGACUGACGCUCAGGUGCGAAAGCGUGGGGAGCAAACAGGAUUAGAUACCCUGGUAGUCCACGCCGUAAACGAUGUCGACUUGGAGGUUGUGCCCUUGAGGCGUGGCUUCCGGAGCUAACGCGUUAAGUCGACCGCCUGGGGAGUACGGCCGCAAGGUUAAAACUCAAAUGAAUUGACGGGGGCCCGCACAAGCGGUGGAGCAUGUGGUUUAAUUCGAUGCAACGCGAAGAACCUUACCUGGUCUUGACAUCCACGGAAGUUUUCAGAGAUGAGAAUGUGCCUUCGGGAACCGUGAGACAGGUGCUGCAUGGCUGUCGUCAGCUCGUGUUGUGAAAUGUUGGGUUAAGUCCCGCAACGAGCGCAACCCUUAUCCUUUGUUGCCAGCGGUCCGGCCGGGAACUCAAAGGAGACUGCCAGUGAUAAACUGGAGGAAGGUGGGGAUGACGUCAAGUCAUCAUGGCCCUUACGACCAGGGCUACACACGUGCUACAAUGGCGCAUACAAAGAGAAGCGACCUCGCGAGAGCAAGCGGACCUCAUAAAGUGCGUCGUAGUCCGGAUUGGAGUCUGCAACUCGACUCCAUGAAGUCGGAAUCGCUAGUAAUCGUGGAUCAGAAUGCCACGGUGAAUACGUUCCCGGGCCUUGUACACACCGCCCGUCACACCAUGGGAGUGGGUUGCAAAAGAAGUAGGUAGCUUAACCUUCGGGAGGGCGCUUACCACUUUGUGAUUCAUGACUGGGGUGAAGUCGUAACAAGGUAACCGUAGGGGAACCUGCGGUUGGAUCACCUCCUUA
rnacentral:rRNA from 1 species